GCAGAGGGGCGAUGUCGCUGCUGCUACUGCCAGCAGUUGCAGGGGACAGGACCUGUGUCUUUGAGAGACCCAGGUAGACACCCUGAUCCGUGUUCUUAGACCCGUAGCGUUUCCGCGGGAUCAUUGAGACGCAUAACCUCGGACUGUUUUCUACCUCCUGCCGCCGCCGCCGCUGCCACAGUCUCCCGGGUGGUCACCGCCUCCUCUCCAAGCCAGGUAGCCGCCGAAAUCCGACCAGACUGGAAGCCGCCACGUCACCCACACGUAACCCCUCCCCCGGUGACGAGAGGGCGGUGCCACGCCUUUUGGAGCACAGGGACUCGAGAGACACGCCCCCCCACCCAAACGCAAGAGCGACCCCGCCCUCCCAUUGGCUAGGCUGCUCGCGACCCCGCCCCCGAGGAACCAGAGCCGGGGCCCGGGAGGCAAGGCCAGCCCCAGGGGAGGAGCCUUAAAGAGCCCGCAGCCCCAGCAGAGAAGGUGCCCUGUGGGCCCGGAACCGGCGGCGGAGGCACUUGCACUCGGGCAGCUGGGAAGCGAAGGAAGGCCCACAGUCCAGAACACACAUCCUAGGAAGCACUAGACGGUCACUGGCUCAGCCACAGGACUGGGAUGGAUGGAGGAAAUGCUGCCUCUGAGAACUCCGGGACGGAGCCCAGUCUGUCAUUUAAUAUCCUCGACGAAGGGAGGGGUUAUCAGUUUUGGAAGUGAGGAGACUGUAGCUCCGAGAAAUGACAAGAUUUGCCCACACAACUAAACGUCAGAACCGGAGCUGGAAAUAAAGUCUGUGACACUCCAAAGCAGAGGGCCUCUGCUAUUCUGCAGCUACAUCUGGAGGCACCCGGCUCUGCUGGUCUUUCUCAAUCUUCAUUGGGUCACCAGGAGUCAGGAUCAGUAGUCCUGAAAAGACUGAAGUGGGACAGGUCUAAAUUUAGGGUCUGGCCGAAGUCAACCACCAGCUUCUUCUCUCCAGUUCCCAGUUCAGGGCUCCAGACACUAAAUGUUGAUCUCUCCCUCCCACGAAGCCCAAGCAAGUUCCUCCCAGACUCUGGAGAGCCGGAGCCUAUGUUCUUUCCCUCAUCGGCCCACCUUCUCCACCUUGCUGCAGGCUGUGUCAUUUGCCCGGGUUGUGGCGACAGCCUCCCAACUGCUCUUUCCAGUCCAUUCUCCAUACCCCUCCUUGCUCAAAAUCCAAUACCCCCACCACCUGCAAAUCACAAGUGCAAAUCUCAGCCUGGCUCUGAAAGCCUUUUCCAUAUCAUCUCUACCUACCUUGCCCAUUUGUAUUAAAAUGCAUCCUCAGCUUCAACUUCCAAAUGCUGUUUAUCUUUCCCAAAAUGUGGUGUAGCCCGACACCAUCAUGCCCAGGCAGUAUCUUCUUUCUAGAAUGCUCUUACCCCUUUCUCUUCCUGUCAAAAUUCUGCCCAUCCUUCAUGGCCCUGUGCAAAUGUCUCACCCACAGAACUUCUAGAUCUCACAUGUCAAACCACCACUAAACCUACACAGCCUAUUCACAGCCUUCUCCAUCUUUGAAAGAAAGCUAGGCCAGGGGGCACCUGGGUGGCUCACUCCUUGGGCGUCUGCCUUCAGCUGGGUCGUGAUUCCAGGGUCCUGGGAUCGAGCCCUGCGUUAGGCUCUCUGCUCUGGUGAAAGCCUGCUUCUCUCUCUCCCACUCUCUCUGUGUUCCCUCUCUCACUGUGUCUCUGUCAAAUAAAAUCUAAAAACAAAAAAACAAAAAACUAGGCCAGUUACCUAAUCGCUAGCACCUUCCUGUCCUUUACCUUG